GAUGAACGCUGGCGGCGUGCCUAAUACAUGCAAGUCGAGCGAACGGACGAGAAGCUUGCUUCUCUGAUGUUAGCGGCGGACGGGUGAGUAACACGUGGAUAACCUACCUAUAAGACUGGGAUAACUUCGGGAAACCGGAGCUAAUACCGGAUAAUAUUUUGAACCGCAUGGUUCAAAAGUGAAAGACGGUCUUGCUGUCACUUAUAGAUGGAUCCGCGCUGCAUUAGCUAGUUGGUAAGGUAACGGCUUACCAAGGCAAGGAUGCAUAGCCGACCUGAGAGGGUGAUCGGCCACACUGGAACUGAGACACGGUCCAGACUCCUACGGGAGGCAGCAGUAGGGAAUCUUCCGCAAUGGGCGAAAGCCUGACGGAGCAACGCCGCGUGAGUGAUGAAGGUCUUCGGAUCGUAAAACUCUGUUAUUAGGGAAGAACAUAUGUGUAAGUAACUGUGCACAUCUUGACGGUACCUAAUCAGAAAGCCAUGGCUAACUACGUG
rnacentral:rRNA from 1 species